CGCGUAGGCGGUCUUUUAAGUCAGAUGUGAAAGCCCGGGGCUUAACCCCGGAAGUGCAUUUGAAACUAAGGGACUUGAGUAUGGGAGAGGGAAGUGGAAUUCCUGGUGUAGAGGUGAAAUUCGUAGAUAUCAGGAGGAACACCGGUGGCGAAGGCGACUUCCUGGACCAAUACUGACGCUGAGGCGCGAAGGCGUGGGGAGCAAACA
rnacentral:rRNA from 1 species